rnacentral:rRNA from 1 species
UCGAGCGGAUGAAGGGAGCUUGCUCCUGAAUUCAGCGGCGGACGGGUGAGUAAUGCCUAGGAAUCUGCCUGGUAGUGGGGGACAACGUUUCGAAAGGAACGCUAAUACCGCAUACGUCCUACGGGAGAAAGCAGGGGACCUUCGGGCCUUGCGCUAUCAGAUGAGCCUAGGUCGGACUAGCUAGUUGGUGAGGUAAUGGCUCACCAAGGCGACGAUCCGUAACUGGUCUGAGAGGAUGAUCAGUCACACUGGAACUGAGACACGGUCCAGACUCCCACCGGAGGCAGCAGUGGGGAAUAUUGGACAAUGGGCGAAAGCCUGAUCCAGCCAUGCCGCGUGUGUGAAGAAGGUCUUCGGAUUGUAAAGCACUUUAAGUUGGGAGGAAGGGUUGUAGAUUAAUACUCUGCAAUUU